AUCCACUCCUGUGAAAUUAUUGUCUAUUCAAAUCAAAACUUUCAACAACGGAUCUCUUGGCUCCGGCGUCGAUGAAGAACGCAGCGAACUGCGAUACGUGAUGUGAAUUGCAGAAUUUGUGAAUCAUCGAAACUUUGAACGCACAUUGCGCCUGUUGGUACUCCGUCAGGCACGUCUGUUUGAGCGUUGUUAAAAUCUCAGCGAAAGCUGGUUGUAGAGGAGGCUGCACGCCCCUCUGAAAUAUCUCGGCAUUGUGCAACGGCGAAACGUGAAUCAAUUGCUGCAAUACCAAUUCUAUCUCUCAACCUCAAAUCAGACGAGAAUACCCGCUGAACUUAAGCAUAUCAAUAAGCGGAGGAA
rnacentral:rRNA from 1 species